GGUCCGGUAGCUCAGCUGGUAGAGCGGCACUUUCAUACGGUGCUGGUCGGCGGUCCGAGUCCGCCCCGGGCCU
rnacentral:tRNA from 1 species